AGGACUAUAGUCAAUUAUGAUAUAUAACUUGCAAUUAUAAGGUGUGUUUAAACUAGUCUUA
rnacentral:tRNA from 1 species